CAGAGGAAAGCACAGAGGAGACGGAAAUGACAGUGGGUUCACCACCUCCGCUGCCUCGUCCCCGCACAUUCUUGCCUCCAAUGGGUCGCAGAACACGACGAGUGCCUCCACCUUCUGCGAGGCCUUCAGCUCAAGAUGAGCUGGUGAACCUCAUGAAAGAAAUGAGGGACCAGCAGCAGGAGAACCAGAGAGUGCUGCACGAGAUUGCAGGGGCAUUAGCAGACAUUUCAGGCAGUCUGUCUGUUAUUGCCUCUGCCUUUUUGGAACAAGACAUAGGCGAUGCACAUUAAGGUACCCAUGAACGACCGAAGAACCUCACUAAGGAUAGGACACGUGACAUUGGACAGCAUGUCUACGUUCUUGUAUAUGGACA